rnacentral:rRNA from 1 species
AGCAGCCGCGGUAAUUCCAGCUCCAAUAGCGUAUAUUAAAGUUGUUGCAGUUAAAAGCUCGUAGUUGAAUUUCGGGGUCAGUAGAUUGGUCAUGCCACUGGUAUGUACUGGUCUCACUGAUUCCUCCUUCCUGAUGAGCCGUAAUGCCAUUAAUUUGGUGUUGCGAGGAAUCUGGACUGUUACUUUGAAAAAUUAGAGUGUUUAAAGCAGGCUAACGCUUGAAUACAUUAGCAUGGAAUAAUGAAAUAGGACGUUUGAUUCUAUUUUGUUGGUUUCUAGGAUCGACGUAAUGAUUAAUAGGGAUAGUUGGGGGCAUUAGUAUUCAAUUGUCAGAGGUGAAAUUCUUGGAUUUAUUGAAGACUAACUACUGCGAAAGCAUUUGCCAAGGAUGUUUUCAUUAAUCAAGAACGAAAGUUAGGGGAUCGAAGACGAUCAGAUACCGUCGUAGUCUUAACCAUAAACUAUGCCGACUAGGGAUCGGAUGAUGUUAAUUUUUUAAUGA